rnacentral:tRNA from 1 species
GGAAGUCAUCCGGCCAGAUAAGGAGCCUGUAUUGAAAACAGGUGGUCGCGAUCGCGACUGGUGAGUUCGAGCCUCACGGCUUCCGC